CCCUUAGAUGUUCUGGGCUGCACGCGCGCUACACUGAUACUUUCAGCGAGUCCACCACCUUGCCUGAGAGGGUGGGGUAACCUCUGGAAAGUGUAUCGUGAUGGGGAUCGAUUAUUGUAAUUAUUAAUCUUCAACGAGGAAUUCCUAGUAAGCAUGUGUCAUCAGCCCGUGCUGAUUACGUCCCUGCCCUUUGUACACACCGCCCGUCGCUCCUACCGAUUGAAUGGUCCGGUGAAGCGUUCGGACCGUGGCCUUUGGACGGUUCGCCGUCUGUUGGCUGCGGGAAGUUCGUUAAACCUUAUCAUUUAGAGGAAGGAGAAGUCGUAACA
rnacentral:rRNA from 1 species